rnacentral:rRNA from 1 species
UACGGGAGGCAGCAGUGGGGAAUAUUGCACAAUGGGCGCAAGCCUGAUGCAGCCAUGCCGCGUGUAUGAAAAAGGCCUUCGGGUUGUAAAGUACUUUCAGUCGUGAGGAAGGUGUUAAGGUUAAUAACCUUAGCAAUUGACGUUAGCGACAGAAGAAGCACCGGCUAACUCCGUGCCAGCAGCCGCGGUAAUACGGAGGGUGCGAGCGUUAAUCGGAAUUACUGGGCGUAAAGGGCACGCAGGCGGUUAAUUAAGUUGGAUGUGAAAUCCCCGGGCUAACCUGGGAAUGGCAUUCAAGACUGGUUAGCUAGAGUCUUGUAGAGGGGGUAGAAUUCCAUGUGUAGCGGUGAAAUGCGUAGAGAUGUGGAGGAAUACCGGUGGCGAAGGCGGCCCCUGGACAAAGACUGACGCUCAUGUGCGAAAGCGUGGGGAGCAAACAGGGAUUAGAUACC